UCCCUCUUAGCUCAGUUGGUAGAGCGCGUCACUAGUAUUGCCAUAUAAUAUAGUCUCAUACGAAAUGACGAGGUCAGUCGUUCAAAUCGGCUAGCGGGAA